rnacentral:rRNA from 1 species
UGGGGAAUAUUGGACAAUGGGCGCAAGCCUGAUCCAGCCAUGCCGCGUGAGUGAUGAAGGCCCUAGGGUUGUAAAGCUCUUUCACCGGUGAAGAUAAUGACGGUAACCGGAGAAGAAGCCCCGGCUAACUUCGUGCCAGCAGCCGCGGCAAUACGAAGGGGGCUAGCGUUGUUCGGAUUUACUGGGCGUAAAGCGCACGUAGGCGGACUUUUAAGUCAGGGGUGAAAUCCCGGGGCUCAACCCCGGAACUGCCUUUGAUACUGGAAGUCUUGAGUAUGGUAGAGGUGAGUGGAAUUCCGAGUGUAGAGGUGAAAUUCGUAAAUAUUCGGAGGAACACCAGUGGCGAAGGCGGCUCACUGGACCAUUACUGACGCUGAGGUGCGAAAGCGUGGGGAGCAAACAGG